UUAGUCUUUCGCCCCUAUGCCCCAAAUUUGACGAUCGAUUUGCACGUCAGAACCGCUGCGAGCCUCCACCAGAGUUUCCUCUGGCUUCACCCUAUUCAAGCAUAGUUCACCAUCUUUCGGGUCCCAACAGCCAUGCUCUUACUCAAAUCCUUCCGUAAACUUCAGGAUCGGUCGAUGGUGC
rnacentral:rRNA from 1 species